rnacentral:tRNA from 3 species
GGAAGGGUGGGUGAGUCUGGCUGAAACCGCUCGACUCGAAAUCGAGUAGACGCAUAAACGUCUCGAGGGUUCAAAUCCCUCCCCUUCCGCCA